AAAUCCGCUUUGAUAAUGCUGGGAUGUGAUGGGGAGCGAAAUUUAGUAGCGAAGUAGCUGAUUUCACACUGUCAAGAAAAGUCUCUAUCGAGGUUAAAGGUACCCGUACCGCAAACCGACACAGGUGGGUGAGGAGAGUAUCCUAAGGCCAGCGAGAGAACUGUUGUUAAGGAACUCGGCAAAAUGACCCCGUAACUUAGGGAUAAGGGGUGCCACCAUCAGGUGGCCGCAGAGAAUAGGCCCAAGCGACUGUUUACCAAAAACAUAGGUUUCUGCUAAGUCGCAAGACGAUGUAUAGGAGCUGACGCCUGCCCGGUGCUGGAAGGUUAAGGGGAUCUGUUAGAGCAAUCGAAGCAGUGAACUUAAGCCCCAGUAAACGGCGGCCGUAACUAUAACGGUCCUAAGGUAGCGAAAUUCCUUGUCGGGUAAGUUCCGACCCGCACGAAAGGCGUAACGAUUUGGGCACUGUCUCAACAACAGACUCGGUGAAAUUGUAAUUCCGGUGAAGAUGCCGGAUACCUGCGACAGGACGGAAAGACCCCAUGGAGCUUUACUGUAGCUUGACAUUGGGUCUUGGUACUACAUGUACAGGAUAGGUGGGAGGCUUUGAAACCAGGACGCCAGUUUUGGCGGAGCCAUCCUUGGGAUACCACCCUUGUAGUACUGGGACUCUAACCAUAGGCCAUGAAUCUGGUCUUGGGACACUGUCAGGUGGGCAGUUUGACUGGGGCGGUCGCCUCCCAAAAGGUAACGGAGGCGCUCAAAGGUUCUCUCAGUACGGUCGGAAAUCGUACGUAGAGUGUAAAGGCAAAAGAGAGCUUGAUUGCAAGACAUACAGGUCGAGCAAGGAUGAAAAUCGGACUUAGUGAUCCGGUGGUUCUGCGUGGAAGGGCCAUCGCUCAACGGAUAAAAGCUACCCUGGGGAUAACAGGCUUAUCUCCCCCAAGAGUCCACAUCGACGGGGAGGUUUGGCACCUCGAUGUCGGCUCAUCACAUCCUGGGGCUGUAGUAGGUCCCAAGGGUUGGGCUGUUCGCCCAUUAAAGUGGUACGCGAGCUGGGUUCAGAACGUCGUGAGACAGUUCGGUCCCUAUCCGUCGCAGGCGUAGGAAAUUUGAGAAGACCUGUCCUUAGUACGAGAGGACCGGGAUGGACGUACCUCUGGUGUACCAGUUGUCCUGCCAAGGGCAUGGCUGGGUAGCUAUGUACGGAAUGGAUAAGCGCUGAAAGCAUCUAAGCGCGAAGCCAACUUCAAGAUAAGAUUUCCCACCGCAAGGGUAAGACCCCAGAAAGACUAUCUGGUUGAUAGGUCGAAGGUGUAAGUGCAGCAAUGUAUUUAGCUUAUCGAUACUAAUAGGUCGAGGACUUGACCAA
rnacentral:rRNA from 1 species